rnacentral:RNase_P_RNA from 1 species
UUGGAAGGGCGGAGGACCGCUCCCGGCGCGAGUCGGGGGAGGAAAGUCCGAACACCGCAGGGCGCGAUGCCGCGUAACUCAGAUUUAUCGGGGAUACACGCGGGCGGUCAGGCCGCGAGGCCUGCCGACGGAAAGUGCCACAGAAACUUAAACCGCCGUCGCUUCGCAAGAGGCGCCGGCAAGGGUGAAAAGGUGGGGUAAGAGCCCACCGCUCCAAGCGCAAGCGCGGAGGCACGGAAAACCCCAUCGGGUGCAAGGCCAAAUAGGGGACCUCGGAGCGGCCCGCUCCACGUUCCGCGCAAGCGGGGCAGGUCCCGGGUAUUGGCUGCUCAGACAAAUGGUUCUCUCCCCGGCUUCAGGGCUGGGCAGACAGAAUUCGGCUUACAGCCCUUCCAAAAUC